CUGGGGUCGCUAAAGAGAAGGACUGCAUGACAUUGUGAUCGACAGUAAGAGCAGAGGUUCCAGUCAUAUCAAAGAGAAAGAAGAGUAAAGUUUUUUUUUGUUUUUAGCCUAUCAAGGAACAGGAAAUUUGAAGAUCAUCUGUAAUCUCACUAUCUCUCUGCCUCCUGCAGUACAACGCAGACAGGUGAGUUGAUUAAUGCUAGGCGGUUGCUCCGCUUCAGACCUUAAACACUUGCAUCACCAACGCAUCACCGGCACCCAAUUAACUAGCAUUGAAAACAUUUAUUUAAGCAUUGCCUGUGUAGGGAAAGAAAACCUCAUCAAGGUUGUUUCCCACCUUAACCAUGGAUGUGAAAUCCUCUGCAAACCACUACCCAUUUAUUUUCAUUUGUUUUUAUGUGUACUUUGUUUUUUAUGAUCCUCAGGUAUUAAAAA